rnacentral:rRNA from 1 species
UGGAUCAGGUAGGGAUACCCCGCUGAGCUUAMSSAWMWYMWWAAGCGGAGGAARAAAACCAACUGGGAUUACCUUAGUAACGGCGAGUGAAGCGGUAACAGCUCAAAUUUGAAAUCUGGCUCCUUCGGAGUCCGAGUUGUAAUUUGUAGAAGAWGCUUUGGGCUGUAGGUUCGGCCUAAGUUCCUUGGAACAGGACGUCAUAGAGGGUGAGAAUCCCGUAUGCGGYCGAGGCUUGCGCCCAUGUAAAGCUCUUUCGACGAGUCGAGUUGUUUGGGAAUGCAGCUCAAAAUGGGUGGUAAAUUUCAUCUAAAGCUAAAUAUUGGCCAGAGACCGAUAGCGCACAAGUAGAGUGAUCGAAAGAUGAAAAGCACUUUGGAAAGAGAGUUAAACAGUACGUGAAAUUGUUGAAAGGGAAGCGCUUGCAACCAGACUUGGGCGCUGCGGAUCACCUCGGGUUUUCUCGAGGGCACUCGGUAGCGCACAGGCCAGCAUCGGUUCGGGUGGCUGGAGAAAGGCCGUUGGAACGUAGCUCCCCUCGGGGAGUGUUAUAGCCAACGGUGCCAUGCAGCCCAGCCGGACCGAGGACCGCGCCUUCGGGCUAGGAUGCUGGCGUAAUGGUUGUAAGCGACCCGUCUUGAAACACGGACCAAGGAGUCUAACAUCUAUGCGAGUGUUUGGGCGUGAAAACCCACACGCGGAAUGAAAGUGAACGUAGGUGAGAACCCUUCUGGGGCGCAUCAUCGACCGAUCCUGAUGUCUUCGGAUGGAUUUGAGUAAGAGCAUAGCUGUUGGGACCCGAAAGAUGGUGAACUAUGCCUGAAUAGGGUGAAGCCAGAGGAAACUCUGGUGGAGGCUCGCAGCGGUUCUGACGUGCAAAUCGAUCGUCAAAUUUGGGUAUAGGGGCGAAAGACUAAUCGAACCAUCUAKKRSYYGGUUCCCUGCCGAAGUUUCCCCUCAAGGAA